AUAUGUUCCAGAUAAGCCCUUAUUAAUAUGGUGCACAGCAUCUAACUGAUCAGCAUCCAAUACCCUUGACACAAAGGUAGUGGCAAAUGUUUCGUUUCAAGGAAUAAAAUUUAGUUAUCAAGAAGAGAAACAUCCCAUUAUAAUUGAAAUGCUCAGAUUCCCUUGACACAGAUGAAAUUCAAUGCUGCGUGACCCUGAGCAAAGAACUCGACUUCUCUGAUCCUUAAUUCCUAGAUGUGUAAAUGGAGAUAAUACCUACUUUAAAGGUGUCACAGAGGAAAGGCUAUCUGAGGACACAGCGGGAAUGCAAACAUCUGCAAGCCGGAAAGAGAGCCCUCAGGAGGGACCAGAUCAGCUGGCACUUUGAUCACGGACUUUCAGACGCCAUAAAUGUGAGAGAAAACAAAUUCCUGUUGACUAAGCAACCAAAUCUGUAAUAUUUGUUAUUGCAGCCCUAGCAGA